AUUUUUCCUUUUACAAGAACUUCCCCGGAUUACUGUAAAUGAAUUUCAUCGCACGGAGAAGGGCAUUUAACGUUUCAAGUUACAUUGACAACUUUAGGAUUGUUUUAAAGGAGUCCCAUCCUUUGUUGCAGCACUGUACCAGACAGCACACUAUUCAGAACUGAGAAUCAAUGCAGUUCCUCCUGUACAGAGCUGCACUGAAUGGAGCAGAGCUGGCACAAACCUAGAACAAUGAGAGUCAAGCCAGGUCCUGUCAGUGGGACGGUUGUUCUGUUUGCAAGAGAGUGGUUAAGGAGAACGCUUUACAGUGGUGUCACCAGCGACCUGACCUAUCAGUCCUCCAAGUGGCAGAAGUGUUAAAAAACAAGAAAAAAAGCCAUACCAUAUUACACUACCACAGUUAUUAGUAUUUUACAUUGUAUCAAAGUUUCUAAAAUGUACGUGUUUAUAUUUACAUGUUUAGAUUUCACUAGUGAGCAAGAAACCAUAUUAAAGUUAUAUAUAUUUGCAUUUACAUUAUAUUUAAUUUGCAUUUUAUAUUCUAGUCUGUACAAAUAAAACCAAAUGAAUCCAUCCCAAGUGUUUUGUGUAAGGCCAGAUCUC